UACGAAGGGGGCUAGCGUUGUUCGGAAUUACUGGGCGUAAAGCGCACGUAGGCGGAUAUUUAAGUCAGGGGUGAAAUCCCAGAGCUCAACUCUGGAACUGCCUUUGAUACUGGGUAUCUCGAGUAUGGAAGAGGUGAGUGGAAUUCCGAGUGUAGAGGUGAAAUUCGUAGAUAUUGGGAAGAACACCGGUGGCGAAGGCGGCUCUCUGGACCGUAACUGACGCUGAGGCGCGAAAGCGUGGGGAGCAAACAGG
rnacentral:rRNA from 1 species